UCCGUAGGUGAACCUGCGGAAGGAUCAUUAAUGAAUAACUAUGGCGUUGGUUGUAGCUGGCUUCUAGGAGCAUGUGCACGCCCGUCAUUCUUAUCUUUCCACCUGUGCACUUAAUGUAGGCUUGGAUAACUCUCGCUCUCGAGCGGAUGCAAGGAUUGCUGCGUCGCCAGACCAGCUCUCUUUGAAUUUCCAGGUCUAUGUAUCUUUACACACCCCAAUUGUAAAAUGAAGAAUGUAGUCAAUGGGCUUUCAUGCCUAUAAAACAAAUACAACUUUCAGCAACGGAUCUCUUGGCUCUCGCAUCGAUGAAGAACGCAGCGAAAUGCGAUAAGUAAUGUGAAUUGCAGAAUUCAGUGAAUCAUCGAAUCUUUGAACGCACCUUGCGCUCCUUGGUAUUCCGAGGAGCAUGCCUGUUUGAGUGUCAUUAAAUUCUCAACUUCAUCAGUUUUGUUAUGAGACUGCAUGAAGCUUGGAUGUGGGGGCUUGCAGAAUCCAUCCAUGGUGUCCUGCUCUCCUUAAAUGAAUUAGCGAGUUCAAACUGGGCUCUGUCUAUUGGUGUGAUAACUAUCUACGCCGUGGAUUGAGCUUAGACUUGCUUCUAACCGUCUGAAAAAGACAACUUUUUGACAAUUUGACCUCAAAUCAGGUAGGACUACCCGCUGAACUUAAGCAUAUCAAUAAGCGGAGGAAAAGAAACUAACAAGGAUUCCCCUAGUAACUGCGAGUGAAGCGGGAAAAGCUCAAAUUUAAAAUCUGGUGGUCUUUGGCCAUCCGAGUUGUAAUCUAGAGAAGUGUUACCCGUGUCGGACCGUGUACAAGUCUCCUGGAAUGGAGCGUCAUAGAGGGUGAGAAUCCCGUCUUUGACACGGACUACCGAGGCUUUGUGGUGCGCUCUCAAAGAGUCGAGUUGUUUGGGAAUGCAGCUCAAAAUGGGUGGUAAAUUCCAUCUAAAGCUAAAUAUUGGCGAGAGACCGAUAGCGAACAAGUACCGUGAGGGAAAGAUGAAAAGAACUUUGGAAAGAGAGUUAAACAGUACGUGAAAUUGCUGAAAGGGAAACGCUUGAAGU
rnacentral:sRNA from 1 species